UCCGCGGUAGCUCAGCGGUAGAGCAGCCGGCUGUUAACCGGCUGGUCGUAGGUUCGAAUCCUACCCGCGGAGCCA
rnacentral:tRNA from 4 species